UACGUAGGUGGCAAGCGUUGUCCGGAUUUAUUGGGUUUAAAGGGUGCGUAGGCGGCCCUGUAAGUCAGUGGUGAAAUAUCUCAGCUUAACUGAGAGGGUGCCAUUGAUACUGCGGGGCUUGAGUACAGAUGAGGUAGGCGGAAUUGACGGUGUAGCGGUGAAAUGCAUAGAUAUCGUCAAGAACACCGAUAGCGAAGGCAGCUUACCAAGCUGUAACUGACGCUGAGGCACGAAAGCGUGGGGAGCGAUCCGG
rnacentral:rRNA from 1 species